CAAUAGCGUAUAUUAAAGUUGUUGCAGUUAAAAAGCUCGUAGUUGGAUUUCGGGGCAGCCUGGCUGGUCCGCCGCAAGGCGAGUACUGGUCGGCCGCCCUUCCUCUCGAAAGCCCCGACUGCUCUUUAUUGCAGUGGUCGGGUAGUUCGGGACGUUUACUUUGAAAAAAUUAGAGUGUUCAAGGCAGGCCUACGCCUGAAUACAUUAGCAUGGAAUAAUGGAAGAGGACCUCGGUCCUAUUUUGUUGGUUUCCAGGACCGAAGUAAUGAUUAAGAGGGACAGUUGGGGGCAUUCGUAUUUAAUUGUCAGAGGUGAAAUUCUCGGAUUUAUGAAAGACGAACAACUGCGAAAGCAUUUGCCAAGGAUGUUUUCAUUAA
rnacentral:rRNA from 1 species